rnacentral:rRNA from 1 species
UUAGUAACUGAACAAGUCUUGACGGUACCUAACCAGAAAGCCACGGCUAACUACGUGCCAGCAGCCGCGGUAAUACGUAGGUGGCAAGCGUUAUCCGGAAUUAUUGGGCGUAAAGCGCGCGUAGGCGGUUUCUUAAGUCUGAUGUGAAAGCCCACGGCUCAACCGUGGAGGGUCAUUGGAAACUGGGAAACUUGAGUGCAGAAGAGGAGAGUGGAAUUCCAUGUGUAGCGGUGAAAUGCGCACAGAUAUGGAGGAACACCAGUGGCGAAGGCGGCUCUCUGGUCUGUAACUGACGCU